rnacentral:lncRNA from 1 species
AUGUCAGCUCGUCAUGUCGGACACAGGACAGUUCAGGUCUGCAAAGGAUGUGCAGUGAAGACGGGCUUAUUUUUCCCAAAAAGUCUUGGAAGAGAGAACAAAACCCUGUUUCACCGGUUGAAGAGUGGCUGCUUCAAGACCAAUACAGGUUGUCUGUGCUUCUUCUUUAAACCCAACUCAUCGUGGCAUCGGCAUCAGGAAAUCUCUUCUUUGCUUUCUGGGGAUGGCUUUUGGCGGCAGACUUCUAUCCCACAUUGCAAAUACCUUGGGACUCUGUUGUGUCGGAGAGGAGGCUCCCGCCACGCUGAAGACAUUACGCACAGACAUCCCACAAUCCCGUGAAGCUCCAGAGAUGUUUCUGCUUUCCUGGGAGACACGCUCCCACAUCUUUUGCAUGGAUCCGAUUGAUUCCAUCGGAUACUGAGGGACCAUGGACCGUACAUUCAGGAGCUCUGGGAAGGAUGGAAUUUUCAAUCCUGAUAUAGAGGUUUUUUUUUUUGUCUAGAAACUAAUGGAAUGAGGCAGAAGUUACUUUUAAGCCCAACUGGGCAUAGCGCUCCUGCUUUGUCAUCUCAUCAACCAUUUUUUUUUAUUCACAAAUCAACAACCGAGGCAAAUGGAGUUUACAGUGACAAGACUGGGGAUGUGUGAUGAAGGACUGCAACAGUGAUGGGAUUCUUCUUCAGUUCCCCAAACAUUUUAGACAAACUAAGAGUUAAGGUUAAGCUCAGAUAGUCACUCAACACACACAGGUAAGAAUUCCAGAAUGUCUUAAGGCUGUUAAUUGCACAUCAAAAUAACCAUUUCAAUUGCGCUUGUUAGUCUGCUAUUUGCUGUUUUCAAAUUAGAUGUGAAUAAAGUUUUAAGUGAUUCUUUAAACAAAAUGCAGAAAUGAAAAACACAUAUGUUGUGUAUCCCGAUGGUGACACAACAGUUGUUCUGUGAUUUCUCUAAGACUAUUUGUUUGGUCUUGCAUAACUUUCUGAAAAGGCUGUUUUAUUUGUCAAGAGCGCUUUGAGGUGUUACUGACAAUGAAAAGGAAGCACGUGAAAUAAAAAUAGAUUAGCUGUUGCUCAUUUUGCUGGGGCACUUCUGCACAUAUUUGGAGAAUAGUCCGCAUUUUUAAAUCCCACUCUGUGAAUGAGGAUUUGAUGUGAAUACACGCAUGUGACUACAAGCAAGAUGAGGUGCUUAUAACAGACCUAACUGACUUCAGCACAAAGGGGAAUGGUUUAGUAGUCACAGGAUAUGAUGAAGACCAGAACGAGAAAGGUUACCAAAACUUUAAAGAGCCAUGAUGCAUCUCAGAGUUCAGUCGGGGAACCUAUUUCCCUGUAAUAGUAAACACAUUAACAUUUAUUGUCACAAAUAUUUUCUCACAUCUUUCGACCCAACAGACUAUUAAAGAUACUUGAAAAAAGGCACAAAUGAACAAGUGAAAGCUAUGUUUUGCUCUCAGUACUCCAUUCCUUGAUAUUUUAGUUUCUCUUUUCAUUGUCUUUAUUCUUCCAGUUUUUAAACUGUCGAUUUUUUCCCUUCACUUUAGCUACAGUACGCACUUUUUUGUGAUUUCCUCCUGAAAGCCAGAGAUAAUGUGCCAGUGUUAGAAAUAUAAUGAAAGAUUAAAUAUUUCAAUAAUGAACAGUUACACGAGUUCAGAACAUGUCACAAAACACCUUAUUCCCUUUUGACAUUAGAAGAUUUGGGUUACACUUGCUGUGUUAAAUGCUAACAGGUAUUCAGGUAAAUGCCGUUAAUUUUAACUAAGGAAAUUACAAAAGAGUAGUUUUUGAAUGGAAUUAAAUGUUUAAUUUGUAAGCCAUUAGAGAAAUCAAUCUAUUAACUUUAAUCUGAGCUGUUUUUUGAAUAACUUUGAAGCUGUUUUGUUGCUUGUUAGGUUAGUUUCUUUAACUGCUUUAACACUAUAAACAGUAAAUAAGACUGUUUCUCAAACCUUUUCAAUCUGUUCACCUUAAGUCAUUAAGACAGGAAAUUGAUGGAACCAUAUCUUAAAGUUAUGUGUGCCUUAUUAUUUCUAUUUAAAUAAUUUGGUUUUAUUUGUGUAAUUCCUAUGAAAUUAGUAAAGAUUUGUACUUACUGAUGAUUGUUAUUUUCCUAAAUUAAAAUUCUUUGUUCUUUUACAUUCCUCUAUUUUUUUACAAAGUUCAAUGUAAUGUAAUAAAACAGGAUAAUUGAAUUGUGUAAUAAUAGUCACGUUUGGCUUGAACGCAAACAAGUCCUAUAUGUUUUAUGCAUAUGUUAUUCACCUGGAAAAAACAAAACUCUUGAAAUGUGUGGAUUGCAAUUAAAUCAAAAGAACAAUUUUGUUACUUUAAAUACGAAUUACAUGUGUCAAAAAAUUGUUAGGAAUUCCUUAUGAAAUCCUCAGACCACAAUCGUAUCCUUGGGGAUACAUUGUAGAUGCUGCGAAAGAAAGUUAAGCUAUGUAAUGGGCUUUAAAUAAUGAUUUUCAGGUGGGUUAUAAACAAUGAUUUGCUGUGAUUUACCAUUUUAUUCUCAUCAACCAAUAUAAAAUAGUGAUAAUCCAAGAUUUCUGUAUAGUCCCUUAAAUAUUUUAAUCCAUCUAUGAAUUCAUAAAAGUGUAAAAUGAUACAGUGAUUCAAACUUUCUGAAUUACUGGUUCAGUUUAGGAAUGAUUCAAAUACAAAUUGUAUCAUAAAUCCAAUCUAAAAAAAAAGCUGUACACCAAGGGAUUUUACAGAAAACCAUUAGCUCAUCCAGCACAUAAUACAUUUAUACAGCAGUGAAGUAUUUUAUUUCUGAUUAAAAUGUACUUCCCAAGUCACUUCAAUAAAACUUAUGGAAAGUCUAUUCAUCACAAAAUAUGACUUAAUUCAUUGUUUACAAGGAUAACGAUUUGUUGGUAAAACUAGUGUUUGAAAAUAAAAGUCUAAAUAAAUAUAUUGUAUACAAAAUGGCCUUUUCUAGUUGCUUUAUUUCACUUUGAAUAAAAAAAACUUAAUCUACACAUCUGGUCUACACAUCUGCUGCUCUGUCUUUACUGCUGUCAUACUUACAUAACAUUUGAAUGCUCAGUUUCACUUUGAAAUUAAGGACAUAGAUGUGGAUGUUUUCAGUAACACAGCAUAAAACCCACACAGACUGCAGCUGUUUGCCUAUACGUUUAGAAAAUGUGUGUCUGAAUAUAUGUUUUUAGAUUAAACAGAAAUGUAUUGAGAAAAAAACAUAACCAGACUGUGUUAUUAAAAUUGAUAUUAUGUGUAUUCAGGUUUUGUAAGGAAUAUUGUGUCCUUUCUGGACACUGUUUUUCUGUUGUAAAGUAACAGUCGUUCUGUUCAUUAAAUAAGAACUGAAUAUUGUGAGUUGUAUGAAUAUAAGUCAGAUAUCAAUGUUUUGCAAUACUUGCAUUUAAGCAUGGAAUAUGUAUGAAUUGUUACAUGAAUAAUGGCUAAAGAAUAAAC